rnacentral:rRNA from 1 species
GGUUAAGCGACUAAGCGUACACGGUGGAUGCCCUGGCAGUCAGAGGCGAUGAAGGACGUGCUAAUCUGCGAAAAGCGUCGGUAAGGUGAUAUGAACCGUUAUAGCCGGCGAUGUCCGAAUGGGGAAACCCAGUGCAAUUCGUUGCACUAUCGUUAACUGAAUACAUAGGUUAACGAGGCGAACCGGGGGAACUGAAACAUCUAAGUACCCCGAGGAAAAGAAAUCAACCGAGAUUCCCCCAGUAGCGGCGAGCGAACGGGGAGCAGCCCAGAGUCUGAAUCAGCUUGUGUGUUAGUGGAACGGUCUGGAAAGUCCGACGGUACAGGGUGAUAGUCCCGUACACCAAAAUGCACAGGCUGUGAACUCGAAGAGUAGGGCGGGACACGUGGUAUCCUGUCUGAAUAUGGGGGGACCAUCCUCCAAGGCUAAAUACUCCUGACUGACCGAUAGUGAACCAGUACCGUGAGGGAAAGGCGAAAAGAACCCCGGCGAGGGGAGUGAAAAAGAACCUGAAACCGUGUACGUACAAGCAGUGGGAGCACCUUCGGGUGUGACUGCGUACCUUUUGUAUAAUGGGUCAGCGACUUAUAUUCUGUAGCAAGGUUAACCGUAUAGGGGAGCCGCAGGGAAACCGAGUCUUAACUGGGCGUUAAGUUGCAGGGUAUAGACCCGAAACCCGGUGAUCUAGCCAUGGGCAGGUUGAAGGUUGGGUAACACUAACUGGAGGACCGAACCGA